AGUAACACGUGGGUAACCUACCUAUAAGACUGGGAUAACUUCGGGAAACCGGAGCUAAUACCGGAUAACAUUUGGAACCGCAUGGUUCUAAAGUGAAAGAUGGUUUUGCUAUCACUUAUAGAUGGACCCGCGCCGUAUUAGCUAGUUGGUAAGGUAACGGCUUACCAAGGCGACGAUACGUAGCCGACCUGAGAGGGUGAUCGGCCACACUGGAACUGAGACACGGUCCAGACUCCUACGGGAGGCAGCAGUAGGGAAUCUUCCGCAAUGGGCGAAAGCCUGACGGAGCAACGCCGCGUGAGUGAUGAAGGGUUUCGGCUCGUAAAACUCUGUUAUUAGGGAAGAACAAACGUGUAAGUAACUGUGCACGUCUUGACGGUACCUAAUCAGAAAGCCACGGCUAACUACGUGCCAGCAGCCGCGGUAAUACGUAGGUGGCAAGCGUUAUCCGGAAUUAUUGGGCGUAAAGCGCGCGUAGGCGGUUUCUUAAGUCUGAUGUGAAAGCCCACGGCUCAACCGUGGAGGGUCAUUGGAAACUGGGAAACUUGAGUGCAGAAGAGGAAAGUGGAAUUCCAUGUGUAGCGGUGAAAUGCGCAGAGAUAUGGAGGAACACCAG
rnacentral:rRNA from 1 species